AUAAGCGGAGGAAAAGAAACCAACAGGGAUUGCCCCAGUAACGGCGAGUGAAGCGGCAACAGCUCAAAUUUGAAAUCUGGCCCCUCCCCCGGGGGGGCCCGAGUUGUAAUUUGCAGAGGAUGCUUCUGGCGAGGUGCCUUCCGAGUUCCCUGGAACGGGACGCCACAGAGGGUGAGAGCCCCGUCUGGUCGGACACCGAGCCUCUGUGAAGCUCCUUCGACGAGUCGAGUAGUUUGGGAAUGCUGCUCUAAAUGGGAGGUAUAUGUCUUCUAAAGCUAAAUACCGGCCAGAGACCGAUAGCGCACAAGUAGAGUGAUCGAAAGAUGAAAAGCACUUUGAAAAGAGGGUUAAACAGUACGUGAAAUUGUUGAAAGGGAAGCGCUCACGACCAGACCUGGUCCCGGCGAAUCACCCGGCGUUCUCGCCGGUGCACUUCGACGGGCUUCCAGGCCAGCAUCAGUCCGCGCCGGGGGACAAAGGCGGCGGGAACGUGGCUCCCCAGGGAGUGUUAUAGCCCGCCGCGCAAUGCCCCGGGGGCGGACUGAGGACCGCGCGUCACCGCAAGGAUGCUGGCGUAAUGGUCUUCAGCGACCCGUCUUGAAAC
rnacentral:rRNA from 1 species